UCUAAGUUUCUUGUUGGAAAAUGUGGAAGAUAGAUGACUGGUUAUACUCUGAUGAUUAAGUUAAUAAUAGCGUAUGAGAUUUUAAUGGCACAAGGACGCUUAUGCCACUCUGACUUUUCCUUAACUGUGCUACAGAUUUGGAACUGUUUUUACAUGAUCCUUGAAUUAGAUGGAUUGUAGUCAAUUUUGUACUGCUGUGAGAAAAGCAUGAAUAAUGAUACCAAAUAUAUUGAAAUGUGAAGGAGUUGGCUCUCUCUUGUACAUCAUCUGGUAUGGUAGGAGAACCAAGUUUUCCUUGAGACAAUUUGUGAACAGAGGCUUUGGUCAUACCCAUUCGAUCUGGCUGCAUGUUCUUCGCAUUCAUCCGGGGAAAAUAGUUUCUGCCCCCCGGUGACAGGAACUUCUAAUUCAUAGGCCUCCUCUUGUGCUCCUGUAGACUGUAAUCUGCGACCACCUAGUUUCUGUUGAUGCUGCGGGUGCCACACUGUGGAUGGGAAUCCUUGAUUUAGAGACAGACGAGUUGAUUGCACUUCCUGAGGUUCACCGUCUGAUGAGCAACUUAUCGUUGCACAUUAAUAUAGUCAACUGAGAGUGGUACAAGGGUCAUGAAUAUGGCAGCUUUUGCGCUAAAUGCUCUUCACUAUGUUAGUGUUAUAGCUAAUCCCGAUGUCAUUAAGUGUGCUUAUUGUCACUUUAUAAUGCUAGCAAGUUAAUAAAGUGGUGUACAACUUAGCAUGUA